rnacentral:tRNA from 1 species
GUCUGGGUGGCGGAAUUGGUAGACGCGCACGAUUCAGGUUCGUGUGGAGAAAUCCUUGAGGGUUCAAACCCCUUCCCGGACA